rnacentral:snRNA from 1 species
AUGACGAGUACGCCACUC